CUACCUACGUCAAGAGCUCCCUUGUGCUACGCGUUUUUGGUGACUUUAGGUUCAGUGUGCUGUAAUUAUCGGUGUUAUGUCGACGGUUUUUGCAGCAGUAAUAUUUACGUAAUAUUAGAAACAAGAUGACAGAAAUAUUCUAAUUAUUUUAAAAGUUUUCCAGUCGGUUUUAGUUGAGGUGCUGUUGGCGACCAUCGACUCCAACCCGUCGAAGUUGGUCUUCUGUUUAGCAAAUGGCUGCCAAUGUUUGGUCUCUAUGGACAAUAUUAGUCGCAAUUAAUCAUCCUUAGCCUCGAAGAGGCCUAGAGGUUGUUCUCACGAGGCCGAAAGUGAUGUUUUCUGAGAGGAAUAAUGAGACCUUGACGAGGUAGCACAUAGGCCUAUGGGUCGAGUUGAAGGACCAGCUAAGGACUAAAGGGGGAUCCUGCGCGUCCUGAGGUGUUUGAGUGUUGUCCAAAUAGCUGAACAUGUCUCCAGCAUGACUCUUCCAAGAGCUAUGGGCGGUGUGGGCACACUCAGUUUUAUAUCUUGAUAAGACCAGUCAGUCGCUAAGUAGCGUAAUGUGGCACUUGGCCUUUCACAGGGCGUUGAGGAUUUCGUCAUGCAUGUGUCCUUUUGCACGACCGUUAUAAUCUUCCUACAAAAUUGAAUGUUGCCUCGACCACCCUCACGUUUAUCAUAGCAAUCCCUGGGAGC